rnacentral:lncRNA from 1 species
CCUGGGACAGUUGGUGGCACUCUGUGAGCCUACUCUCAGACCAGUCCUUUCCAUCAUGGGCUCCUGUGGAAAAUGACCCCAGCUCAGCUCAGUAGUUGAUGGGACAUCUGAUUCAGGUUGGACCCAGCCCAGACAUCUGAUUCAAACAAUAUUCUUCUCCAGGAAUUUUGUAACCAGCACUGGUAAAGGGAGGGAAGUGCUCCCCAGUGGGGAAAGCUGCAGAAUGUGAGACUUGGAAACCAAAGGCCACCAUGUUUUCUGUCUCAUGAUGGAAUCCAAUCUUCUUUGGCGGGGAAAAUAAAUGAAGCCAACACCAGUAGGUAUAA